rnacentral:lncRNA from 13 species
ACGCGUGGGAGUGGGUGAAUUUCCUUGUCCUUCUGGCCAGCUGUGAUUUUGUGCAGCUCCAUGGUAAGAAAUGUGACCUUCCCCGGUGCAAAAACGAUGUCCUAUCCCGGAGCUCCAGUAAAUGACAUUACCAAGCUGCUCCCAAAUGUGCUACGACAUAGACGGAAUCGAUUUCCUUGUUCUGUCGGUUUUAAUGACAUUAUGAAGGGCACCUCCUGAACAGUUGAAACUGGGUUUUAAAGAGCCCUGUGCCCUAUGCCCUCGCUGAAUUGUAGCAUUGAACACUUUAGACAGAUUAUUUCUCGUCACAACUGGCUAUGUGAUUAUUGAAGAUCAAUGGGUGUAACUUUUUGUUGACAAUUUCGAUACCUUUUGGAAACAACACGUUUUAUAAGGAGGAUGGGAUCCGCCUAAACCAUUUGGGUUCCUGGAUCCCUAUAAGGCUGCAUUGAGACAAUGACUUAUCAAUGACCCAAGCCCUGCUCAGGUAAUUCCUAUCAUUGUGUUGCUGAGUUGUCAUAAUGCUUUAACAAAUGUAUAUUAUCCCAGGGGCGUUGGAAGACACAAUGUAAGUAACCUAAUUUAUGUUUCUCUUACUGCCCUGAAUGCCUCUGCAGAUCCUACAGCUAUUGUAUGCGGAAAUCCUAUGCCUAUGAACCAGAGUUGGUGCUAACAGUAUGAGGCGGUGUGCCCUAGCAGGAAGUCCACCGUUUGCAGCUCAUCCUGCACUAACAUAAAUAACCAGAGCAUGUCUCUCUCCAUGGUGGAGAGCGCUGUUCCUAUAUGGUGGAGAGCGCUGUUCCUAUAUGGUGGAGAGCGCUGUUCCUAUAUGGUGGAGAGCGCUGUUCUUAUAUGGUGGAGAGCGCUGUUCCUAUAUGGUGGAGAGCGCUGUUCCUACAUGGUGGAGAGCGCUGUUCCUACAUGGUGGAGAGCGCUGUUCCUACAUGGUGGAGAGCGCUGGUGGAGAGCGCUGUUCCUACAUGGUGGAGAGCGCUGUUCCUACAUGGUGGAGAGUGCUGUUCUUACAUGGUGGAGAGCGCUGUUCCUACAUGGUGGAGAGCGCUGUUCCUACAUUUAAAGCAAGAUAAGCAUCCCAAAAAAGUGUUAACUUCUUGAUGCACUCAUCCUGUUAGCGGGAUCAUUUUUGUCAACAUCCGCUGAAUUGCAAAGCGCCAAAUUCAAAUUAAAUUACUAAAAAUAUUUACAUUUUCAUGAAGUCGCAAGUGCAAUAUAGCAAAACACAGCUUAGCUUGUUGUUAAUCCACCUGGCGUGUCAGAUUUCAAUAAAGCUUUUAGGUGAAAGCAUACCAAGCGUUUAUGUAAGGACAUCUCUCUCAGCAUACAAAACAUUGCAAACAGCUAAGUAGAUUGGUCACGAAAGUCAGAAAAAAAAAUGAAUCGCUUACCUUUGAUCUUCGGAUGUUUGCACUCACGAGACUCCCAGUUACACAAUAACUGUUCCUUUUGUUCCAUAAAGAUUAUUUUUAUAUCCAAGAUAACGCGCCCAAAUGGAGGUAUGUUCAGAAAUCCACAGGCUCGAGCGGUCACGACCGGGCAGACGACAAUUCCAAAUAGUAUCCGUAAAUUUCAUAGAAACAUGUCAAACUUUUUUAUAAUCCUCAGGUUGUUUUUUCAAUAUAUAAUCGAUAAUAUUUCAACCGGACUGUACCUUCUUCAAUAGGAGAGAGAGAGAGAGAAAAUGUCUGCUCCAAACUGUUGCGCAUGCAAAACGCUGCUGGCACCCAGCCAUUCAAUGAAUGACGCGAUGUGAUCUUUCUCGCUCAUUUUUCAAAAUAAAAGCCUGAAACUAUGUCUAAAGACUGUUCACAACAUGUGGAAGCCGUAGGAAAAGGAAUCUGGUUGAUAUCCCUUUAAAUGGAGCAAAGGCAGGCAAUGGAACAGAGAGCUUUCAGGUAAAACAGCGCUUCCGGGUUGGAUUUUCCUCAGGUUUUCGCCUUCAAUAUCAGUUCUGUUAUACUCACAGACAAUAUUUUGACAGUUUUGGAAACUUUCGAGAGUUUUCUAUCCUAAUCUGACAAUUAUAUGCAUAUUCUAGAUUCUGGGCCUGAGAAAUAGGCAGUUUCAUUUGGGUACGUUUUUCAUCCAAACAUCAAAAUACUGCCCCCUACACUCAACAGCUUAAUAGCCCACGUUAACAUGUGUAGCUUAAGAAAUAAGGUUAAUGAAAUCAAAAAUUUGCUAGUAACCAAUGACAUUUAUAUUCUGAUAAUCUCUGAAACUUAGAUAAUACCUUUUUGAUUGGCUUGGUAGCAAUACAUGGUUAUAACAUCUACAGAAAAGACAGAAAUGCCAAUGGUGGAGGUGUUGCUGUUUAUAUUCAGAACCACAUUCCUGUAAAGAUUAGAGACGAUCUCAUGUUAAAUACUGUUGAAGUAAUAUGGCUACAGGUUAAUCUGCCUCACCGAAAUCCCAUUCUGGUGGGAAGCUGCUCUAGACCACCAAGUGCUAACAGACAGUAUCUGGAUAACGUGUGAAAUGCUUGCUAAUAUAUGUGAUAUUAACAGAAAUGUCUAUUUUCUGGGUGAUUUUUAAAUAUUGACUGGCUUUCAUCAAGCUGCCCCACUCAAGAAAAAGCUUAACCUGAACCAGGUUGCAGGCUGGUCAACCUACCAGGGUAGUUACAAACAGCACAGGAAUGACAUCAUCAACACGAAUUGAUCACAUCUUUACUAAUGCUGCAGAAAUUUGCUUGAAAGAAGUAUCCAGAUCCAUCGGAUGUAGUGAUGAUUGAUCACAAUAUAGUAGCCAUAUCUAGGAAAGGUUACAAAGGCCUAAUAAAGUGUAUAAGAAGACAUACAAUAGGUUGUUUUAUAGUGAUUCCUAUGUUGUUAUUUAUUGGUUUGUGGUAUGAGGAGCAACCAGAUGCUGCACUUGACACAUUUUAUGACAUGUCUUAUUCCAGUUACUAAUAAGCAGGCCAUUAACCUGUCUAGGAUUGGCGGAACCCCCCGCAACAGCCAGUGAAAGUGCAGGGCGCCAAAUUCAAAACAAAAAAUCUCAUAAUUAAAAUUCCUCAAGCAUACAAGUAUUUUACACCAUUUUAAAGAUAACAUUCUUGUUAAUCCAGCCACAGUGUCUGAUUUCAAAAAGAAUUUACAGCGAAAGCACCACAAACGAUU